AGCGGCGAACGGGUGAGUAACACGUAGGUGAUCUGCCCAUCAGACGGGGACAACGAUUGGAAACGAUCGCUAAUACCGGAUAGGACGAAAGUUUAAAGGUGCUUCUGGCACCGCUGAUGGAUGAGCCUGCGGCGCAUUAGCUAGUUGGUAGGGUAAAGGCCUACCAAGGCGACGAUGCGUAGCCGACCUGAGAGGGUGAACGGCCACACUGGGACUGAGACACGGCCCAGACUCCUACGGGAGGCAGCAGUAGGGAAUCUUCGGCAAUGGGCGAAAGCCUGACCGAGCAACGCCGCGUGAAUGAUGAAGGCCUUCGGGUUGUAAAAUUCUGUUAUAAGGGAAGAACGACUUUAGUAGGAAAUGGCUAGAGUGUGACGGUACCUUAUGAGAAAGCCACGGCUAACUACGUGCCAGCAGCCGCGGUAAUACGUAGGUGGCGAGCGUUAUCCGGAAUUAUUGGACGUAAAGAGCGCGCAGGUGGUUGAUUAAGUCUGAUGUGAAAGCCCACGGCUUAACCGUGGAGGGUCAUUGGAAACUGGUCGACUUGAGUGCAGAAGAGGGAAGUGGAAUUCCAUGUGUAGCGGUGAAAUGCGUAGAGAUAUGGAGGAACACCAGUGGCGAAGGCGGCUUCCUGGUCUGUAACUGACACUGAGGCGCGAAAGCGUGGGGAGCAAACAGGAUUAGAUACCCUGGUAGUCCACGCCGUAAACGAUGAGUGCUAAGUGU
rnacentral:rRNA from 1 species